UCUCUCUCUCUCUCUCUCUCCUACACGUGUUUGGUCUCUUCGCUCAGUCACGUGACGGUACCACAACAAAACACAGCAGAUCAGGAGCAGUAAUGUGAGCAUGUAAGAUGUGAGAGGAGCGAGUCUGUACACACGUUUUCUACUUUCUUACGAAACAGGAGAAACGUACUAAAUGUAGCUGAAGUAUCGAUACUAUCGAUAUUUGGAUCGAUCCACCCACCCCUACUAAUAAGGUUAGAACAGCCGUGUGUUUCAAUAGCUACCCAGGUAAAAGUGUGGAGGCAAGAUCAUCUUUCUCUAACAAAGAUAGAAGAAUGGUUAAUGCAAGCAUUCAGUGUGGAAAGCAGUCCUUGACCUCCACCGCCUGUUCAAAUCAACAAAGAAAGUCUGCUCGAAGCUGUCAUGAGCAAACUAGUGAAACUGGAGAGUAUUCAAGAAAAUGACUGUUUCCUCAAUGAUGUUUCAUCAAGCCAAGCAGUCAUGUGGCCUCACACCCAGCAAGACCAAGUGAUCACGAUCAGUGUUUAUCCAUGCAUGACGAGGAGAAAAGCAAGGAAUUUCUUCAAGCGACUAUUACUUAUGAACUGAAUUAUUAAGCUGUCAAGAAGAAGGACAAUGGCUUACAUCCCAACCAUACACUGAUGGGGUGCUUUUGUGCGUCAAUUCAGAAAGAACAGUGUGAUCACCAAAAACCUUUUUCUCAUUACAUUUAAAGAAACAGAAUAGAAGUGACCAUUAUUUGCAAUGGCAUGGCAUGCUUUCACACUCCAGAUGGGUCAAUGAAUGAUUUUUUUGUCCUGCCUCAGAAUUUUACAAUCAAUGCAGCAAAUAGCAAUGAUCAUCUACAAAAUAAAGGUACAGAACAGUAAAAAUCAUACCAAUAUUUGCCUACACACAAUAUGGCCAAAAUAUGUGGACAUCCCAUCCCAUAGCUGUGGCCAUAAGACCUGAAUUGAAUUAUUUAAGGUGUCCACAUACUUUUGGCUAUAUAGCUGCGGCUGUAUCUGUGGAAAACAAUGCAGUUAAGACAAACAAUUUGAUUUUCAUCAGCAUGUAAAAGCAUGAGUACAUUUAGCUUUUCAUUUUAAAUACAGAUGUUUCUGGGAAAUACCCACCUAACUGCUGUUUCUAUGACCACCAUAAAUGUAAAGUUCUGACCAUGCUGAGUGGCUAAUGUAAAAUGUUUACAUAAUCAGAAUUAGCUCAGAAUUAAGAAAACCCGUUCCUAACGGGUUGUGUUACAUGGGCUGGGUAUUUACACACAGAGUCUACGUUAUUAUAUACUCAAAUUGUGUUGAAAAAUGUUCUGUCUGUAAACAUGCAGAAGAUCUUAUCAUGUUUUAUCUGUAUAAACCCAUUGAAGUUAAGCUUCGAUGAAUGAAUAAUAUGUAAAAGUUUUAUCACCUGUUAUUGUUAAAUCUUGUCAGAGCAGUUUUUGUUUGUUAAUUUAUUUUUGGGGACCCAAUUUGGAUAUUGUUAAUUUCCUUGUGCAUUCUGGUGACCUUUGCCUGCCACAGAGGCCGGUGGUUAAUAUUUAUGAUGAAAUGACAAGUGUUCCACUGAAAAACAGAGGACAGGGAGCCAGUUCAUCCCAGUUCUAAUGUCUGUGUAGAUGACUGGAUGGCCAAUGGCACAGCUGAGACAGCUGCAUCACAUGAGCACUAGAACCACCGGUGUAACAGCUAACCAUUGACUAAGUGACAUACACAGGCCUGUCAAUAUAUAAAAAAAGCAAAUGUUCAUGUAUUUUAAAAAUAAAGAAGGAGACUGGACUUUUUUUUUGUGGACUCUUGUGAUCUAUGUUACCAUCUCCACCAGGUGGAGCUGACAAUAUAAUCUCAACUUUUUUAAAGCUUAGUUGCACCACAAACUUGCUCAAUACAUUCCAUGAUUUUAUUUUGUCUUCAGUGGCGUUGACCUCAGCCCCACUUUCCACCUUCAGGAUGAAUUGGAGCACUGAUUGCGAGCCAGGCCUUUUUGACCAAAAACAAUGCCUGACAUUGCAACUACUCUAUUAAUUAAAUUGGCAUGGAUUCUCACACACACCCCAAAAUCUUGUCUGAAAGCACCUUUUAUGUGCACCGUGUUUAUUGUGUUGUUUUGCACUUCUGUGUUGCACCCUGGUCCUGGAGGAAUGUUGUUUCGUUUCAGUAUAUUCUUGUAUAUGACAAUAAAGCCUCUUGAACUUGAACCUUAAA